rnacentral:rRNA from 1 species
UGGGGAAUAUUGCACAAUGGAGGGAACUCUGAUGCAGCGACGCCGCGUGAACGAAGAAGGCUUUCGAGUCGUAAAGUUCUUUUAUAUGGGAAGAUAAUGACGGUACCAUAAGAAAAAGCCCCGGCUAACUACGUGCCACCAGCCGCGGUAAUACGUAGGGGGCUAGCGUUGUCCGGAAUCACUGGGCGUAAAGGGUUCGCAGGCGGAAAUGCAAGUCAGGUGUAAAAGGCAGUAGCUUAACUACUGUAAGCAUUUGAAACUGCAUAUCUUGAGAAGAGUAGAGGUAAGUGGAAUUUUUAGUGUAGCGGUGAAAUGCGUAGAUAUUAAAAAGAAUACCGGUGGCGAAGGCGACUUACUGGGCUCAUUCUGACGCUGAGGAACGAAAGCGUGGGUAGCAAACAGG